AUUGAACGCUGGCGGCAGGCCUAACACAUGCAAGUCGAACGAGUGGCGGAGGGGUGAGUAAUGUCUGGGAAAAUGCCUGAAGGAGGGGGCUAACUACUGGAAACGGUAGCUAAUACCGCAUACCAUCAGAUGUGACCAGAUGGGAUGAACUAGUUGGUGGGGUAACGGUUCAGCAGGGCGACGAUCCCUAGCUGGUCUGAGAGGGUGACCAGCCACACGGGAAAUGAGACACGGUCCAGAGUCCUACGGGAGGCAGCUGUAGGGAAUAUUGCGCAAUGGGCGAAAGCCUGAUGCAGCCACGCCGCGUGUAUGAGUAAGGCCUUCGGAUUGUAAAGUGCUUUCAGCGGGGGUGCGUUACCGGCAGAAGACGCACCGGCUAACUCCGUGCCAGCAGCCGCGGUAAUUC
rnacentral:rRNA from 1 species